CAAGUACUCCCUUCGUCCGGAAUUACUUGUCAUCAAAAUGGAUGUGUCUAGAACUAAAAUACAUCUAGAUACAUCCAUUUCAAUGACAAGUAUUUUCGGACGGAGGGAGUACAAG
rfam:Triticum aestivum genome assembly, contig: Triticum_aestivum_CS42_TGACv1_scaffold_408018_5BL